GAUAUAUACAAAGAUACAUACUUGAAAGUCCGUAGAGGAAACAAAUUUUUACGCCUUCUGUUUGACUGUUUGUCAUAUAUUUGGUUUUAUUUCCCAGGGAUCAGUGAAUUUUAACUCUGGAGUCCUCUAUGCUAAGGAUGCUCAGCUUACAGAUGAUGAAAUGUUCAGUAAUGUAUUUGCUGGAGCUGUGCUUACCCAAGGUUUGGGUAAAACAAGCUUUGGGUUCCUUCUGUCUCACUGGGAGUUGCCCAAUUCAGUUGCAUCUGGUGAAAUUCACCCUGAGACCUUACAGAACUAGCUCCAACUACGUGAGAGCCAUUUGCAGUUCUCUCCAGACACCUGGAGAAUGGGCGACGUUUCUGAGGAUCCGGCGAGCGUGCUUCUGUCAAAACUCAGUCUGUGAAAUUUCUGGGGAAAACACUUCUGUGUCCUGAAGGGUUCAAACUCUGGUGAGGAUCCAGUUAUCAGGUGCUCACCUGGAUGGUUCCAGCUCCCAAAGGGAAAGGCUCUCGUAUCCUUGUCGUCGGGCUCGGUGCUGUCCAAGAAGAUACAGAGACUAAAAAAAUCAUAAGAAGCAAAAUAUGACUGCAGGGAAAAGAAGCUGGAGAGAACAGAAGACAUUGCUCCACUCCCCAGAGGAUUAUUGUGAGCAGAUGUGAGCUCUGCUGUCCCUUUGGACUGACAAAGACAGAGGUUUUGUCCCAAGUUGCUUUUGAACCUGUCCUGCACCCGUUACGAGUCCUCAGUCUCCUGCAAUUUUGUGGGUCAGUCACAUGUAAAACAGCACAGCUGGCUGGCAUGCUUUGCUCAUGAGGGGAGACAAGAGAAGAAUCCCUCUGCUCACACCAGACCUGCAGCUGCCAAACCUCACCAAAGCACCUGAGGAGCCCCCAGGGACUGAUGGUACAGAAGGGAGGUGAUGGAGGACAGCACAGCAGGCAGCCUGUCCUCCAUCUGGCUGUGAAGAAGGCAGGGCUGGGAACUGUCAGCAACAUCCCAGCAGGUCUGGCUGAUGGUGCCACCCUGAGGGCUUCCCCUGCCUUUGGGCAGUCCCAGCUGCUGCAGCUCACUUGACAGAGACUCAUUGUCUAUACUGUGCUUGGCUGCACUGGAGAUGAUGAAGCCGAGGACAGCAAUGGUUGCCUUCACAUCCCCUGACUGCAGAUGGGAAGGAGGGCGAGCUCUGUCACCUUGGGAAGGCCUCUGCAGAGUCACUGCUGCCCGUCUCU